UCAGUCCUCAGAAGGGUCAUGCCCACUCUGAAACAUACGCGCAGUCCCAAAUCUCCAGAAAUGCUCGAGCGCGCCCUCUCUACGCGACUCCGCGGUCCGUCUCCUCACUCCGAUGACACCGAUAUUGAAGCCGCCGAAGAGAACGCUGCCGUCGAUGAAUUCAAGACCAAGAGGCAACAUAUCUCCCUCUUGGCCUCCAAUUACCUGUCCCGCGUCGGCCACCUUUGGCCUGGUCCCUGUCUCGUCCUCUGCCUUCUAGUCCUUCUUCUCUUAAUCACUUCGUUGCACUUUCAGUCUCGCGGUCUCGUCUGUUCGUCCUCGUACGACAGGUCUCACAUUGGGUUUUUUGGGCUCGAUGGGCUGGAUUCGGACUUCGGUAUCGAAACAUAGAAAAACAGUUGAAUGGACAUCAAAAGAUUUGCUGAAGGGUUUGGAGGAGUUUGUCCCAAUUUAUGAAACACGGCCAAUAAAAAGUAACCUGUAUGGGAUGGGUUUUGAUCACAGCUUUGCGAUUUGGUUUAUUGCUUGAUGGCUGAAGCCUGAUCUGAUGAUUGAGAGUGGUGCAUUCAAAGGGCAUUCGACUUGGGUCUUGCGGCAGGCCAUGCCAGACACACCAAUUAUAUCCCUUUCACCUCGGCAUCCUGAGAAAUAUCUGAAGAAGGGACCUGCUUAUAUCGAUGGAAAUUGUACAUAUUUUGCUGGAAAGGAAUUUAUUGAUUUUGGGAGUGUUGAUUGGAAGAGUGUGAUGAAGAAACAUGGCAUUACUGAUCUUACUCGAGUUCUUAUUUUCUUUGAUGACCAUCAGAACGAAUUGAAAAGGAGGUGGACAUAGCUGCUUUAAAGACAGUGAUGAAGCCAGAAUUAGAUCAAAAAGGAAGAAAUGUUGGGGUAAGGCAGUGGAUAUAGAUGAACUAUGUGGACCAGGUGAAGCGUGGUGGGGUGUUAGAGGGUUUGUGAGGGACAAGUUUAACCAUAGCAAUCAGCCAAUUUCCUAUGCGGAACAUUUCCAAAACAGUCGGUUCCUUGGAUCAAUACUUGAUGUUUAUUGGGAGCUUCCUCCAGUUGCUGGUCUUUCUCUCACUCACCAGACACGUUACGAUCCUGCUCGUGCUUUUACUCCGAUUGUUGAAGAUGCCUGGUAUGGCCUAUUCCAGAAGCUUGGUCUAGGUAGGCUUGAUCGUUCAGUUUUUAAUGGAUAUAGGGAAAAUUUAAUGCGUGUUAAACAAAAAUAUUUCUUAAUUUGGAUGUAGAUAAUUACGCAGUUGUAUUAUAAUCUUAAAUUAAUCAUUGAAAAGGGAAAAGAAAAUCAGAGUGAAAUCUGAUCCCAGUCCUCAGUAGGGUCAUGCCCACUCUGAAACAUCCGCGCAGUCCCAAAUCUCCAGAAAUGCUUGAGCUCACCCUCUCCACGCGACUCCGCGGUCCAUCUCUUCACUCUGAUGACACAGAUAUUGAAGUCGCCGAAUAGAACGUUGCCGUCGAUGAAUCCAAGACCAAGAGGCAACAUAUCUCGCUCUUGGCCUCCAAUUACCUGUUCCGAGUUGGCCACCUUUGGCCUGGUCCCCGUCUCGUCCUAUGCCUUCUAGUCCUCUUAAUCACUUUGUUGCAUUUUCAGUCUCGCGGUCUCGUCUGCUGGUCCUCGUACGACAGGUCUCGCGUUGGGUUUUUUGGGCUUGAUUCGGACUUUGGAGUGCUUCGAGUGCCAUGGUGUAAGCAUUUCUGCUUUAUGUAUCAAUAUAUGUUCGCAUUUGUUUCUGUACGAGCGGUUGUUCUUAUAUAUGUGAUGUGAUCUGGAAACUUGCUUAAUU